rnacentral:rRNA from 1 species
UACGGAGGGCGCAAGCGUUAUUCGGAAUUAUUGGGCGUAAAGCGUGCGCAGGCGGUUUGUUAAGUCUGUUGUGAAAUCCCCGAGCUCAACUUGGGAAUUGCAAUGGAUACUGGCAGGCUGGAGUAUGGUAGAGGAAGGUGGAAUUCCCGGUGUAGCAGUGAAAUGCGUAGAGAUCGGGAGGAACACCAGUGGCGAAGGCGGCCUUCUGGACCAAUACUGACGCUCAUGCACGAAAGCGUGGGGAGCAAACAGG